GGCUUGGUGGUGGAUGGUCUAUACCUGCUUGCUGUUCGUAAUAAUGUUGAUAAUAAAGUCAGUUAGCAGGAGGAGUCUGUUCGAUUCAGGCCCAAGCAU